CCGCUUGUACAGGAUAGGUAGGAGCCGAAGAGACGUGUGCGCUAGCAUACGAGGAGGCAAUGGUGGGAUACUCCCCUGGCUGUAUGACCAUUCUAACCCGCCACGCUUAGCGCGUGGGGAGACAGUGUCAGGUGGGCAGUUUGACUGGGGCGGUCGCCUCCUAAAGAGUAACGGAGGCGCCCAAAGGUUCCCUCAGAAUG
rnacentral:rRNA from 1 species